rnacentral:rRNA from 1 species
CCUACGGGAGGCAGUAGUGGGGAAUAUUGCACAAUGGGGGAAACCCUGAUGCAGCGACGCCGCGUGAGUGAAGAAGUCAUUCGUUAUGUAAAGCUCUAUCAGCAGGGAAGAAAAUGACGGUACCUGAGUAAGAAGCCCCGGCUAACUACGUGCCAGCAGCCGCGGUAAUACGUAGGGGGCAAGCGUUAUCCGGAUUUACUGGGUGGAAAGGGAGCGUAGACGGGAGUGCAAGUCUGGAGUGAAAGGCGGGGGCUCAACCCCCGGACUGCUCUGGAAACUGUACGGCUGGAGUGCAGGAGAGGUAAGUGGAAUUCCUAGUGUAGCGGUGAAAUGCGUAGAUAUUAGGAGGAACACCAGUGGCGAAGGCGGCUUACUGGACUGUAACUGACGUUGAGGCUCGAAAGCGUGGGGAGCAAACAGGAUUAGAUACCCCAGUAGUC